GGAUGCAAGCGUUAUCCGGAAUCAUUGGGCGUAAAGCGCCUGUAGGUUGUUUAAUAAGUCUGUUGUUAAAGACUAGGGCUCAACCCUAGAAAAGCAAUGGAAACUACUAGACUAGAGUAUGGCAGGGGUAGAGGGAAUUUCUAGUGUAGCGGUGAAAUGCGUAAAUAUUAGAAAGAACACCGGUGGCGAAAGCGCUCUACUGGACCAUUACUGACACUGAGAGGCGAAAGCUAGGGGAGCGAAAGGGAUUAGAUACCCCUGUAGUCCUAGCCGUAAACGAUGGAUACUAGAUGUUGUGCAAUUUGGACAGUAUCGUAGCUAACGCGUUAAGUAUCCCGCCUGGGGAGUACGCUCGCAAGGGUGAAACUCAAAGGAAUUGACGGGGGCCCGCACAAGCGGUGGAGCAUGUGGUUUAAUUCGAUGCAACGCGAAGAACCUUACCAGGGCUUGACAUACUACAGAUCUUUUUGAGAAAGAAGAGUGCUUUCGGGAAUGUAGAUACAGGUGGUGCAUGGCUGUCGUCAGCUCGUGUCGUGAGAUGUUGGGUUAAGUCCCGCAACGAGCGCAACCUUCGUUUUUAGUUGCCAAUUUAUUGGGAUCUCUAGAAAGACUGCCGGUGACAAACCGGAGGAAGGUGAGGAUGACGUCAAGUCAGCAUGCCCCUUAUGUCCUGGGCCACACACGUGCUACAAUGGUAAAGACAAAGAGUCGCCAAUUCGCGAGAAUGAGCUAAUCUCAUAAACUUUAUCUAAGUUC
rnacentral:rRNA from 1 species